UACGUAGGGUGCUAGCGUUGUUCGGAAUCAUUGGGCGUAAAGAGCGUGUAGGCGGUCCGGUAAGUCCGCUGUGAAAGUCGGGGGCUCAACCCUCGAAUGCCGGUGGAUACUGUCGGGCUAGAGUGCGGAAGAGGCGAGUGGAAUUCCUGGUGUAGCGGUGGAAUGCGCAGAUAUCAGGAGGAACACCAAUAGCGAAGGCAGCUCGCUGGGACGGUACUGACGCUGAGGCACGAAAGCGUGGGGAGCAAACAGG
rnacentral:rRNA from 1 species